CAAGGAAGAGACAAAUUUUUAAGAACAUUAUCUUAUAUGGCAAAAUUUGCCACAUUGGGUAUAUCUUCAAAUGAAACAAAUAAAAAGUUAAAAAUAUUUAGUAAUCAAAUAAAUGAAUGUAGAAUGAUUUUAAGAUUAUUAAAUGAUAUACCAAUGAUUCAUUAUGCUAUGAAAUAUGAAUGGGAAAAAGAGGUAUAUAUAAAUUUUAUAUGUCAUCUAAUAGGAAUCAGAUUGGUUGAUCAGAUAUGCAGAGUUAAUACAGAUUUUAGUAGACAUCAUAUUUUGUCCAAUAGAACAUAUUUUUUGGGCAGGCAAACAUAAAUUAAUUAAAAUCAAUAACGAAAUAUGGGAUAAUGCUUCAACAUGGCUUUGGAUAAUAUCUCUGCAAUUGUCAUUAUUAAAGUCUUUGCGAAAAAUUAAAUUCAACAAUUAUAAAAUUCAUCUUAGUGAAAUUAACUAUAAUACAAGAUUAACUUUGAAGGUAAUAAACAAACAAAAGUGGAAUGAAUUAUUGACUUGUAUAAGAUUAAUAUUAGAUAUAAGUUACGCAGUUAAUUAUUUGCCAUCUGGUAUAUUAUGGGCUGGGCAGUUAAAAACUUGGCAUAUUGGACUACUUGGAUCCUUAUCAUCUUUAAUU
rnacentral:misc_RNA from 1 species